CUGUUCGAGCGUCAUUUAUACCAAUCUAGCCUGGCUAGGUGUUGGGCUUCGCCAUCUGGCGGGCCUUAAAAUCAGUGGCGGUGCUCUUCAGCUCUACGCGUAGUAACUUUCUCGCUAUAGGGUCUGGAGGGAUGCUUGCCAGCGACCCCAAAUUUUUCUAGGUUGACCUCGGAUCAGGUAGGGAUACCCGCUGAACUUAA
rnacentral:misc_RNA from 1 species